CCUGAAGCCGCCAGCAUGGCAGGCAGUCCAGAGGGAAAAAUGGACGUGAAGUAGGGGAGAGCGAAGAUAAACUGGAACCCAGGAAGACAAGCUAGAACCUGCUUUGGUCCCUUACCACCUCUAAGCCUUUAACGUCAGCGAUGCAGGUAACUUGCAAGAGAAGCUAGUAUCCUUCAUUAUGAAGCUAAAUGUGCAGCUGACUCAGGAGUCAGAGUUGGAGAAGCUAAAGGAGGAGAUCCAGCAGGAGACAGAGUUGCUUUGGACCCCGCUGCUGCCGCACACCUCCAAAGUGAGCCAACAAAUCACUGACAGUGUGUGUGAACUGCAAUAGUAGGUGGUGUGCUGCAUUGACCCUUCGAGUGUACAAAGAAGAUGAUAAUGGCAGCAUCAGGAGAAUGGCUCAGCAAUUUUUAGACCAGAGGCAAUCAUGGAUUCUCAACUUACUGAGGCAGAUUCAUAUAUUGAAGCCCCAACACCCAAUGUGACUAUAUUUGGAGAUAGGGCCUAUAAGGAAGUAAUUAAAGUUAAAUGAGUUCAUAAGGGUAAGCCCUAAUUCAACAGCAUUGGCAUCCUUAUAAAAAGAGACAUUAGGAAGGCCUGUGCACAGAAGAAAGGCCAUGUGAGGACA